rnacentral:rRNA from 1 species
UACGUAGGGUGCAAGCGUUGUCCGGAAUUAUUGGGCGUAAGAGCUCGUAGGUGGCCUGUCGCGUCGGCUGUGAAAACUCGGGGCUCAACUCCGAGCUUGCAGUCGAUACGGGCAGGCUAGAGUUCGGCAGGGGAGACUGGAAUUCCUGGUGUAGCGGUGAAAUGCGCAGAUAUCAGGAGGAACACCGGUGGCGAAGGCGGGUCUCUGGGCCGAUACUGACACUGAGGAGCGAAAGCGUGGGGAGCGAACAGG